UAUUUAUUAAUUAAUUUUUUUUUUAUUAUAAAUUAUUAAAAAUAAUUAUUAUAAGAUUUGUUUGAGUAUUUUAUAAAGAAAAAAUAAUUUUAAUUAUAGUUAAAUAGUAUUGUGAAAGAAAAUUGAAAUAAUUUGAAAAAUUAAUAUUUUAAAAGAAAAUUUAAUUUAUUGUACCUUGUGUAUCAGGGUUUAUCAAAUAAAAAUUAUUUAGUAUAAUUUUCUCGAUUUUAAAAGAGUUAAUAUAUUAUGAAAGUUAAUGUGACAAAAUUAUUUUGUAUAAUAUAUUAGAAAUGAAAUGUUAUUCGUUUUUAAAGGUAUCUAGUUCUUUAAGAAAUAAAUUUAAUUUAGAAAUUUUAUAUUAUUUAAUUAAGUGUAUUAAUUAAAUAAUUGUUUUAUUUUAAUAUUUUGUGGGAUAAGCUAUGAAAUAAAUUAUUAAAAAUUAUUGAAUAAUUUAAUAAAUAUAAGCUUAGAAAUAGCUAUUAUUAGUAAAAGUGUUAUAAUUUAUUUUAUAAUAUUGAUUAUUUAUUAAAUUUUAAUUAUGUAUUAAAGUAUUUAUUUUAAUUAUAAAAAUAAAAAAAUAAUGAUAAAAUUAGUAUAUUAUGAUGUAUAAAUAUAAUUGAUUGAUAAGUUUUUAUAAAGAACUCGGCAAAAAUAAUGUUCGCCUGUUUAACAAAAACAUGUCUUUUUGAAUUUUUUUUAAAGUCUAACCUGCCCACUGAUAAUUUAAAUGGCCGCAGUAUACUAACUGUGCAAAGGUAGCAUAAUCAUUAGUCUUUUAAUUGAAGGCUGGUAUGAAUGGUUGGACGAGAUAUUAACUGUUUCAUGAAAAUUUAUAAUAGAAUUUUAUUUUUUAGUCAAAAAGCUAAAAUAAAAUUAAAAGACGAGAAGACCCUAUAAAUCUUUAUACAUAGAUUAUUAGAAUUUUGUAGAUUUUUUUUAUUAUAAUAAUUAAUUGUAUUUUAUUGGGGUGAUAUUAAAAUUUAAUAAACUUUUAAUUUUAAAAAAUCAUUAAUUUAUGAAUAAUUGAUCCGUUAAUAACGAUUAAAAAAAUAAGUUACUUUAGGGAUAACAGCGUAAUUUUUUUGGAGAGUUCAUAUCGAUAAAAAAGAUUGCGACCUCGAUGUUGGAUUAAGAUAUAAUUUUAGGUGUAGCCGCUUAAAUUUUAAGUCUGUUCGACUUUUAAAUUCUUACAUGAUCUGAGUUCAAACCGGCGUAAGCCAGGUUGGUUUCUAUCUUUAAUAAAUUAAAAUAUUUCAGUACGAAAGGACCUAAUAUUUAAUAAAUUAUUAUUUUUAUAUUGAAUAUAAAUAAUUUA
rnacentral:rRNA from 1 species